rnacentral:rRNA from 1 species
UACAAAGAGUGCAAGCGUUGUCCGGAAUCAUUGGGCAUAAAGCAUUCGUAAGCGGCAUACCAAAUCUAAUGUUAAAUCCCGGGGCUCAACUCCGGACAAACAUUGGAUACUGGUGAGCUAGAAUAUAGUAGAGAUUAAGAGAAUUCCUGGUGAAGCGGUGAAAUGCUCAGAUAUCAGGAGGAACACCGGUGGCGUAAGCGCUUAACUGAGCCAUAAUUGACGCUGAGGAACGAAAGCCGGGGGAGCAAAU